AACUCUUCUAGUAACUGAAUAAUAAAAUAAUGAAUAAUGACAACAUGCUCUUCCCUUUACAGCGUGUUCAUCAUAAUGGUGACCUCACAGAGUCCUCCCAGUCUGGUCCCAUCCUUCAGGCAUGGAAGCCAGAGAGCACAGUCUGCUUGAGGCACGGCUGGGGUUCAAGCCCCAUCUUUGGGCUCUGAUCCCAAACCCCCGGAGGCAGUAGCUGUGGAGGGCUCUGCAUCUGCAGGAGCUGUGGCUGGUUGGGGAUUUAGCUGGAAGUGGGGCUCCUCCAAGCCUGAAGAUCUAUGCUGCCUACUUCUGUGAGACAAGAUACUGGAAUGUUCCAUUCGGGUUAAGUGAUGGGGGGUAUGAACAUCACGCAUCCUCCCUCAAGGCUCGGCUCAGAACAACUUCCUCCAAGAAACCUUUCCUGGUUUCUCCCCUUACCCCCAGGCUCCAGAAUGUUCCGGCAGCUCCAAACCCCAGCAGGUGGCAUAGGUCCUGUUUGCACUUCUGUCACUUGCUCCUGCAGCAGCCCUUCAGCUUUAACAGGGACAGGGUCUCAUUCACCUCGGGGCCCCCCAGUGCCUGACACAGUGUCCGGUACAUCUUACAGUUUUACCAAAACUUUACUGAGCAUGAAUGAAGGAGAGAAGGGGGGUGGUGAUGAAUGGAGAAUCAGCCCUGGGCACAUAGCAGCUCCAUGUACAGCUAUGUUCAUAGAAGCAAGGCCCACCACAUGUGCAUGUCUGGGCGGAGGGACUUAGUGGAGGAAGGUGCUAGAAAGAGAGAGAGUACAGGAGCCUGACUCCAUCCUUGUCAAUUCAACCUGGCAAUUUUCCCCAGAAGGAGGGGUUUAGGUUAGUCUUCUGAGGCUGGAACAAGGGAACCCAACAGGAAAGGAAGCCCCUCUGCCUUCAUUUUGACCCUUAAAAGGGGGCCCAGUCCUUAGCCUGGGUGCCUCCUGCUCCCCUGGAAAGAUCAGCCUGGAUGAAAAAGCCAGUGUUCUCUGUCUCUCUGCCUACCAGGGGACGGGGGUCCCUCUUGCACCUUGCCUCAGCUUCCCUGGCUGAAAAUCCCAUGGGGAGGAGUGUUUCUUCUUCAAGUACUUAGCUCUACAGGAAUGUGAGAAUCAUUCCUUCUGCAAACCUGAUGGAGGCUUGGGAAAGUUCAUCUCCUGUCCUGGCAGUGGCUAGUGGCCAACUGCGAGCACUGUCCUGCCCUCUGUGGUCAGGAGAGGGCAGCGAAGGCCACCAAAUGCAGAUCCAAAGGCUGGACUGGAAGAAGGGGCAUAAAGGACAGGAGGAGCCCAGCUUGGCGAGAGUGGGUACCAGUAAGAAUCAGGACAGCCCCGUGCCACACCUGCCACUGAGACACGAACUGCCACAGCCUGUGGACGACGUGGGAGAAUGAGGGACAUCCCUUCGCCUCAGGAGCUCACAUUCCCGCAGCAUGAAUGAAUGAGUGAAAAAUACGACCAAACAUGGACCAAUGUGGAGAAUAUAACGAAGACAGUAAUUAUUCAAAUUCUGGAUAUCUGGACUUUUAAAAAUUAGACAAAAAUAUUAAAUAAAAACG